rnacentral:rRNA from 1 species
UACGAAGGGAGCUAGCGUUGUUCGGAAUCACUGGGCGUAAAGCGCACGUAGGCGGAUGUGUCAGUCAGGGGUGAAAUCCCGGAGCUCAACUUCGGAACUGCCUUUGAUACAGCACGUCUUGAGUCCGAUAGAGGUGGGUGGAAUUCCUGGUGUAGCGGUGAAAUGCGCAGAUAUCAGGAAGAACACCAAUGGCGAAGGCAGCUCUCUGGGACGGUACUGACGCUGAGACGCGAAAGCGUGGGGAGCGAACAGG